rnacentral:rRNA from 1 species
UACGGAGGAUCCAAGCGUUAUCCGGAUUUAUUGGGUUUAAAGGGUGCGUAGGCGGCUUAUUAAGUCAGGGGUGAAAGACGGUGGCUCAAGCCAUCGCAGUGCCUUUGAUACUGAUGAGCUUGAAUACACUAGAGGUAGGCGGAAUGUGACAAGUAGCGGUGAAAUGCAUAGAUAUGUCACAGAACACCAAUUGCGAAGGCAGCUUACGUAUGGGUGUUAUUGACGCUGAGGCACGAAAGCGUGGGGAUCAA